GACGAACGCUGGCGGCGUGCUUAACACAUGCCAGUCGAACGGAAAGGCCCUGCUUUUGUGGGGUGCUCGAGUGGCGAACGGGUGAGUAACACGUGAGUAACCUGCCCCUGACUUUGGGAUAACUUCAGGAAACUGGGGCUAAUACCGGAUAGGAGCUCCUGCUGCAUGGUGGGGGUUGGAAAGUUUCGGCGGUUGGGGAUGGACUCGCGGCUUAUCAGCUUGUUGGUGGGGUAGUGGCUUACCAAGGCUUUGACGGGUAGCCGGCCUGAGAGGGUGGCCGGCGACAUUGGGACUGAGAUACGGACCAGACUCCUACGGGAGGCAGCAGUGGGGAAUAUUGCACAAUGGGCGGAAGCGUGAUGCAGCAACGCCGCGUGCGGGAUGACGGCCUUCGGGUUGUAAACCGCUUUCGCCUGUGACGAAGCGUGAGUGACGGUAAUGGGUAAAGAAGCACCGGCUAACUACGUG
rnacentral:rRNA from 1 species